rnacentral:ncRNA from 1 species
UUAUUAGGCAGGCAGUUUGACUGGGGCGGUCGCCUCCUAAAAGGUAACGGAGGCGCCCAAAGGUUCCCUCAGAAUGGGUGGAAAUCAUUCGCAGAGGGUAAAGGCACAAGGGAGCUUGACUGCGAGACCUACAAGUCGAGCAGGGACGAAAGUCGAAUUCACUGUUUGUUUCACUAAACGUA